UGUUUUGUCAUAGAGAUGGGGAAUGAAAGAGGCCCUAGUCUGUCUAAAACGUCAGAGUAGCGAUUCGGUGACACCUUAUUAUCUAUAGGUCGGAGCCUCGUGAGUUAAUGCCAUCAAUGAAAUCUAGUCGCAAGCAGUUUUCAAUCUUCACGCCUUUGACGUAUCAAUUCUGUUCAUUGUACUGUGCUUUGAACUUUCUCCAGUCAUUUAGAAUGUGACAGAGAAAAUAUCGUUGUUAUACUUACAUGCAAAUCAACUUCUAGUUUAUUUAUAUCGUCUGUUGCAGUAUUGAGACGCUCUAAUUCGAUCUGAAAUAAUAUCACGUGAUGUCUAACAUCAGGUGGAUUAAUCCAUUCAAUAUCUUACUUUAGCCAAUUAAUCUGCUGUAAGAUAAACUACAUAACUGGGUCGUCGCGCUUAUUUGUGUAUGUACGUACGUUACAAGGUGCGGUGAAAUGAAUCGCUGAAUAGUAGAAAAAAAAAGGUAUUUAAAUCGAACUCAUCGGGAAUGUCAAUAUCACAAGUAGGGCGAAGAAUAUUUCAAAAUAAAUCAACUCACUGGCUUACCUGUACUCUGGGGUCCACAGCGUCUUCAAUUUUAUCAGAAUGAAUGGAAAUGUCAUUUUUCUCACGCCCGCUCAUUAUUAAUCAAAUGAUUGAAAAGAUUUUAUGAACAAUUCUACAUGUCACCCGCAUCGACUGCUACAUCCACCGGUAGCCAUCUUGAAUCGAGUUGAAGUUAGGGGUGGCAAUUGACAGAUGUCAGAGGAUAGAUGUAAAAAAUUACUGGAAUAAAACUAUAUGUUCCCAGGUAA